UCGGGAGUGAUAGAGUGGCGCACGGGUGAGUAACACGUAUGUGACUACCCAUUUGCGGGGGAUAACGGCGGGAGGCUGAAGCUAAUACCGCAUAAGUAUUAUAGUUUGAACUACUAUAUCAGAAAGUCGGCCUCUGAUUUAAGCCGGCGCAGAUNGAUGGGCCUGCGGACCAUUAGUUUGUUGGUGGGGUAACGGCCUACCAAGGCGAUGAUAGUUAGCCGGUCUGAGAGGAUGAUCGGCCACACUGGAACUGAGACGAGGUCCANACUCCUACGGGAGGCAGCAGUAGGGAAUAUUGCGCAAUGGGCGAAAGCCUGACGCAGCAAUGCCGCGUGAGGGAGGACGGUUUUCGGACUGUAAACCUCUGUCAAAAGGGACAAAUUGUUUAUAUGUAAAUAGCAUAUAGAUUUGAUGGUACCUUUAGAGGAAGCACCGGCUAACUCCGUGCCAGCAGCCGCGGUAAUACGGAGGGUGCAAACGUUGUUCGGAUUUAUUGGGCGUAAAGCGCAGCGCAGGCGGGAAAGCAAGUCAGGUGUGAAAUCUCGGGGCCUAACUCCGAAACUGCGCCUGAAACUGUUUACCUAGAAUCCCGGAGGGGGAUGGGGAAUUUCUCAUGUAGGGGUAAAAUCCGUAGAGAUUGAGA
rnacentral:rRNA from 1 species